CGAACUCUUCUCUCUCUCUCUCUCUCUCCCCUUUUUCCUCUCUAUUUUUCAUCAAUUUGUUGGGGCGUUUCUGAUCCAACCCCGUCAAUACCAUUUCAAGGGGAUUGAGAUGUUGUGGAGAAAUCGAUUCAAGGGCUCGGUUUGUGCUUAAUUUGAGGCAGAGUGUGUUACAACUGAGCAUGCAUACUAUCGCCUUUGUGCGGAAUCACGCCUUCAAGUGGAAUCACGCCUUCGUGCGGAAUAAAAGAUGAUAGCGCAAUGUUGCGCAUCCUUGGGUGUGAGUUUCUAAAUUGCUACACAGGAAUGUUUAUUGCAGGGGCGAGUUGAAGCUGACUCACCCCUACGCUCACUUUCAAAGUGUCCUGUUGGUUGGCGCUUCAGCUUGCCCUAUGCUAACAGCCUUCGAGCUGGAUAUCAGUUUGGAUCUCUAACUCGCCCAUGCUUCUUUGGCCUCUGUGAAGGAUUAUUGCUUGUUUUUUAUAACAUCGAAUACCUGUUAGUUCUUUCAAAUGUUGCAUAUGAUAUGGCAAAAACUUGUACAUAAACUUAGGCAUCCAUCAUCCAGAUGAUGAGAUACACUGACAUAUUAUUGUUAUAAAAGGCUAACCUUGCAGGGAAUCCUAUACAGUUAGAAAACCGAUCGGUAAGCAAUCAUUUAUGCUUAGUCCUUCUGAUCCUUUCUUUGCGUGCAACAUAUCUUGCUUUCAGUAGUUUAUGCAAGCAAAAAGUAAUGUUAAAAUUGAGCUGAAGAAUAUUAAACUUGAGAGUGGCAUACCAACAAAUAAGUGUCUUGGUUUUGUGACUUUAUAUACACAUGUUCAUGUUAUAGCAAUCACAUGAUGGGAUUGCAAUAAAUGGACUUGGAGAAGGUUUCCUUGAAUAAAAUGAGCCAGAUCUUUGAAGCAAUAAAAAAUAGCGUUCUGUGCAGUAUUCGAUUAAUAAUAAGAGGCUUGGGAUUUUUGAAAGUUUGUUGUUCAAAAUUUUAU